rnacentral:tRNA from 1 species
AAGGAGACCUACUAAGUUAAUACCUGAAAGCGAUUUUGCGAAUAGGGUUUAGCUGUAGUCACCUAAGGUCGUUGAGGGUUUUGUUAGUUCUGGUGAUUAAGUUCAUAACUCUUCCAAGUUAUUCCGGUGUUAUGACAAUGGUUGAGAAACCGAGUCAAAGCAUCAAUCAAACGGGCUAUUAGCUCAGGUGGUUAGAGCGCACCCCUGAUAAGGGUGAGGUCCCUGGUUCGAGUCCAGGAUGGCCCACUUUCAUAUUCGAGAUGAAUAGUUUUGAAAUGAGGGGGUAUAGCUCAGCUGGUAGAGCGCCUGCUUUGCAAGCAGGACGUCAGCGGUUCGAGUCCGCUUACCUCCACCACACCUUACAUAUUAAUUAAGCUACGGUAAAAAUCAGCAACCAGGGAUGUGAGCAUUAGGUUCAACAUCAUGGGCUGCUGGUCUUUCAAGACUAGCGAGAACCUUGACAACUGCAUAGAAGAAAAAGAAAGCAAAGGUAGUUCAAAGUCUGAUGCAGACAUUUGAAAGAAACGAAGCCCAAUGUGCUGAGUAGAUUAGCCUUGUAUGUAAUGGAAGCUAUGUAACAGUAGUGGACGUUAUUUAUAUGGUUGAGAUGCUCGGUUGCAUAAGCAAUCGACCUUCACAUAUCCAAUGAAGUCAGCACAAUUACG